CCUACGGGAGGCAGCAGUGAGGAAUAUUGGUCAAUGGGCGCGAGCCUGAACCAGCCAAGUCGCGUGAAGGAUGACUGCCCUACGGGUUGUAAACUUCUUUUAUGAGGGGAUAAAGUGAAGCCCGUGUGCCUUUUUGUAUGUACGUUAUGAAUAAGGAUCGGCUAAGUCCGUGCCGUCAGCCGCGGUGAUACGGAGGAGCCGAGCGUUAUCCGGAUUUAUUGGGUUUAAAGGGAGCGUAGAUGGGUUGUUAAGUCAGUUGUGAAAGUUUGUGGCUCAACCGUAAAAUUGCAAUUGAUACUGGCAGUCUUGAGUCUAGUAGAGGUAGGCGGAAUUCGUGGUGUAGCGGUGAAAUGCUUAGAUAUCACGAAGAACUCCGAUUGCGAAGGCAGCUUACUAAACUGCCACUGACAUUGAUGCUCGAAAGUGUGGGUAUCAAACAGGAUUAGAUACCCUAGUAGUC
rnacentral:rRNA from 1 species